AGUAACGCGUGGGUAACCUGCCCUAUACACAUGGAUAACAUACUGAAAAGUUUACUAAUACAUGAUAAUAUAUAUUUACGGCAUCGUAGAUAUAUCAAAGUGUUAGCGGUAUAGGAUGGACCCGCGUCUGAUUAGCUAGUUGGUGAGAUAACUGCCCACCAAGGCGACGAUCAGUAGCCGACCUGAGAGGGUGAUCGGCCACAUUGGAACUGAGACACGGUCCAAACUCCUACGGGAGGCAGCAGUA
rnacentral:rRNA from 1 species